AAUAAAUGGAUUGUUACAUGUAACAACAUGGAUGCAUCUCAAAGUAACUAUGCUGAGUAAAAGAAGAUAGACUAAAACAGAACAUACUGUAUAAUUUCUAUAAAACUAGAAAAGGCAAACAUCUUCAGACAAAUAAUGCAUCCCUGAUUGCCAGGGACAGGAAAGAUGGGAGGAAAGAACUAUAAAAGGACCAAGGAAACUUUUGAGGGCAUACCAUUGGAACCCUUUGUUCCUUCAUGCUACUGGAACGAUUUGAAAAUGCCAGUUCCAGAUAAGAAAACUGAGACACAGAGAGACUUAGUAAAUUUCCUCAAUUCAUUCAGAUGGUGAGGACACAAUGAGAUGUCCUUCUGCAAACCAGAAGAGGGCCUUCACUAGACACUGGAUCUACCAGCACCUUGAUCCUGGAUGUCCCAGAUUUUAGAAUUGCCACUCAGACCUUGUCUCCCAGGAAUUUGAAUCCCAGCCACUGACACAGGAGGGAAAAUGGGAGGAGAUGAAGCACACCAAUUGCAGUGUCACGGACAGAUUUCCCUCCUUUCCUGCCAACUUUCCUGGGUCCUGUCCUUUGCAAAAGCUGGUUGUUUUGUUCUCUUUUUGGUUUAUGAAUUGCCAUGAAUCCUUUCAAUAAAAUCCUUUUGUUUC